AGUGUUUAACUAUUUAUUUCAACUUCCAGUCGUUGGAUGUGUGACUACAAAAUUAAUGAACGUCUACCUAAUGAAGUUGGACGGUUUUUAACCAAUGGCUUGAGGCGGUGAAGGGCUGGAACACGGGACCCGGCGAUACUACGGCGGUGCGGAGGGAACGGCGGGGGAAACCAUGGAAACGAGAGUCACUGUUGGACCCAUUGGACCCAAUCACGAGACGAAAACAAGCCCCCUCCUUCCUGCCGCACCUGUUUAUGGUUUAUGUUUAUUAAGUAAAUUGCUGGUCUAUAAAGGAGGUCAGUGCGGUUGAUUCAGGGCUUGGCAUCAAACAUGUGGAAUUUCGUUGAGAAGUUCUGUGACGCUUCAGAAACUUGCAAGAAAUCAGCACCUCUUAAAAAUGCUUGGAUCAACAUUAAUUGGGG